CGAUGGCGGACGAUGGGGAUGAGUGCGAUGCAUGAGACUGGGAGGGGACGAGGCGAUGACUCACACCUGGGAGGAGCGGGAGGCGGGGAGUCUGUGAGGGACAAAGGGGAGGAGUGCUGUUGGUGAGGAGUCAAGUGAGGAUGGCACGGAGGGUGAGGCGGUGCCAGGAGGAGCCGGCGGAGGCAGGAAGGAUUCCCCCAGGGCCUCCGAAAGGGAGAGAAUGAAUUCCUGUGGCUUCAAGCUCCCUGUUUGUGGUCAUUUGUUCUGGCAGCUCCAAGAAGUGAGCAAAGCAGCCAUCCUGGCUUGUCCCUGCUGGAAGGGUUUCUGGGACAUGGGUGUUUCAGUGCUAAAAGCAGGAAAUCCGCGGAGAGCCCAGAUGAGUUGGGCUCUCCAGGCGCCCCUGCCUCAGGCUUGAACUCAGCAUCUGGUGCGAUAAGGAAGCAGGGACCGCCAGGGUCUGUCUGUGGGCUAGGAGCCUGUGCCCAGGUGGUGACGACAGUGCUCCUGACCCGGCUCUUAGGGGCAGCAGGCUGCAGGCCCUUGUGUGCAGGGCUGGCAGGGUGGUCGUGCAGGGCGUGCCAUCCACACCUCACCUGUUCUGCGGUGUGAAGCUGACCUUCAUCCUCACUGAGAUUCUCCAGCCUGAAGCCCCAGCAAUUCUGCCAAGUGGCCGGUAGCACCUGAAGGAACGUCCUUCUGCUUAAAUCGGUUGUGGGAGGAAGCUGUGUCUGCAGCAACCCUCUGGAACGAGGGGCCUGCCCCGCAGUGGAGAGACCGGGCCCUCAGGACACAGCUGCACCAGGGCGCAUGGCACUGCCUUAGCACCGGGCACCUGCCAGAGGGCGUGUCUUGAACCACAUCAGGCCUGGGCAGCCAGGGAGGUCUUUUCCAGGAAAAGAAUUCAGCCUCAGGAAGCUCCCACCCUGUCUGAAGGCCCAGAUGGAGAGGAAGAGGCUGCUCAAAUGAUGAAAUCACAUCAGAUCUGGAAGCUGGCUCAAAAUAACCCAGGAAGGAGAACGGUAAAGAGAUGGGGUGUAAGAGAAUCGAGCUGCCUCCCUGAUCUGGCACCUUCCUCAGACUGCCCUUGUCCCCUGUCCUGAGGAAGGAGACGGCUGGACACCUUGGGUACGGGUCCCACACCUGCAGGCCAGAGAUGUCAUUCUCCUUGGUGCCACCAGCAGGAGCCCAGCCUGCUGGGGCCAUAAGCUCCCUUCCCCUCUCCUCCCCACGGAUCCACCUGAGAAAGGGAGGCUCUGGUUUCCUGCCAGCUCCUCCCUCCGGGGCAAGAGCCCAGAGCCACCCAGAGGCUUGCUUGGCCCCAAAGGUGAAAAGGGGGUCUGGCCAGAGGGGGCCCACGGCCUGCCCAUGGAGGACACUUUCAUCAACAGAUGUAUUUAUUUUUUUUUUGAGAGAAGCCAUUCUGAGUGUUUUAUUAAUGAUGCGUCUGUGGGGAGGGCUUUACUAGAUAUGAACUAGCGAAUGCUAAUGCUAGGAACAGAAUGAUAGAAGCAUUUUCCUCCCUAAAAAGUUCUUCCUUUCAGGGGGCAAAGUUUUUGUAAUACAAACACCUUUUGGCUCAGUUAAAUUCGAGUAAUGAGGAACUUUGAUAUUUCUGAGUUAAUAAUGCCUUGAUUAAUCCGUAUCUGCAUAUGACUCAGAUGUACUGAUUUCUGCCAUUUCUCGCUCAGCAUGCUAACUCUGAGCAGGGGGUCUUGUUCACACUCAGUCGUUUUUCUCAGGAACUCCAGGGGGCAGUGACUUCACUGGAAAUCGAUAUCAAAGCACCGAGUGGAAAGUGUUCCAUCGCAGAAGCUCUUUUCAAAUGUUUUCUUUUUCUUUCCAGUUUUAUGGCGAUAUAAUUGAUAUACCACUGUAUUACUUUCAGAUGUACAACAUAAUCAUUUGAUGUAUGUAUGUAUUGUGAAAUGGUCACCACAAUAAGUAACAUCCAUCACCUCACACAGUGACAAUUUUUUUUCUUGUGAUUAGAACUUUCAAGAUCUACUCUCUUAACGUCUUUCAAAUAUACAAAAUGGUAUUGUUGACUAUAUUAAGCACACUGUGCAUUAGCUUCCCAGAACUUAUUUAUCUUAUAAAUAAAGAUACCUUGGACUUUUUGACCCCUUCAUCCAUUUCCACCUCCCCCACCCCCUGCCUCUGGCAGGCACCAUUCGAUUCUGUUUCUAUGAGUUCAUUUCUUUGAUUCUGCAUGUAAGUGAUAUCGUACAGUAUUUUUUAUCUGUCUGAAUUGUUUCAUUUAACAUAAUGCCCUCAAGGUGCAUCCAUGUUGUUGCAAAUGGCAGGACUUCCUUGUUUAUGGCUAAAUAGUAUACCGCUAUCUGUCUGUCUCUCUCUCACAUUUUCUUUAUCCACUUGUCUGUUGAAGGUCCCUGAGGUCGUGUCCAUGUCUUGGCUAUUGUGAAUAACGCUGCAAUGAGCAUGGGAGAGCAGAUGUCUCUCAGAGGCUAGAAACUGAUUGCUGUGCUCACCUAUAACCACCCAGCUCGAGACUGCAGACCAACUAUCCGCUGUGUCCAGUGAGACAGCUGACCCACCACCUGCUGUGUGAAUAGCUGUGCUCACAGGGCAAUCCCGAGACUCUGGUGAAAGGAACUUUCAAUCAUAUGUGAUAGAUGCUCUUUGACGGUAUAGAACCACUCUGUACACUCCCUCUUCUUGGGGGCCCUUCCUUCUUUGGAGAAGGAAGGCCACAGGCUAAGCUAGUCCUCAGAUCUGGCUCACAAUAAACUCAGCCCAAUUUUCAAUUAUAGGUUGGUUAUGGAUUAUUUUCAUCGACAUUUCUUGGCAUAGUCAGAAGGAUUUCAGAGAAACCCACCAGAGAGCGCCUGGAACCUACACUGAACUGGCAUUCGGCCUGUCCCCUGAGCCGUCAGCAUCGGAUAUGAUGCGCACACGAGGCCUUCAUUCUACGUUGAUCCGUCACAUAAGCUGAUGUUAUCUCCGUUACAAAACUGGUUAACAAGCAUAAUAACUAAAACGAUGGCUAAUUUUGUCUAAUGUCUCGUGAAGUCUUGUAGGCAAUCUAAAUGAUUAUUGGGAACAAGUAACUAGUAGUUGUGAAAAAGAUGAGUGUUGGGGGAACUUUUAACAAUAAUUAUGAGUUAUGGUGCAUGUACCUAAAACAGCUUCCAAAAUCUGCUUGCUAACUUGAAACUUUGAAGUUGCUAGGUUAAUUUAAGGGAUAAAGAUUCGUUAAAUAUCCAGAUAAUCUCUAAAUAAGAUAAAAUAUUAGGCAUUAAUUAUUAACUGUAUGUUUCUCUACUGUUGGCUUCUCAUUACAAAACCACCCUAAAAGUUACGUGUAUUAGUAAACAUGUCUUCUAUUUUAUUAAAAGAUUUUACUAUGAAGUAA